rnacentral:tRNA from 1 species
GGGGGAUGUAGCCAAGUGGAUCAGGGCAGGGG